rnacentral:rRNA from 1 species
AGCGGCGGACGGGUGAGUAAUGCAUAGGAAUCUGCCCGGUAGUGGGGGAUAACCUGGGGAAACCCAGGCUAAUACCGCAUACGUCCUACGGGAGAAAGGGGGCUUCGGCUCCCGCUAUUGGAUGAGCCUAUGUCGGAUUAGCUAGUUGGUGAGGUAAAGGCUCACCAAGGCGACGAUCCGUAGCUGGUCUGAGAGGAUGAUCAGCCACAUCGGGACUGAGACACGGCCCGAACUCCUACGGGAGGCAGCAGUGGGGAAUAUUGGACAAUGGGGGCAACCCUGAUCCAGCCAUGCCGCGUGUGUGAAGAAGGCCUUCGGGUUGUAAAGCACUUUCAGCGAGGAAGAACGCCUGGUGGUUAAUACCCGCCAGGAAAGACAUCACUCGCAGAAGAAGCACCGGCUAACUCCGUGCCAGCAGCCGCGGUAAUACGGAGGGUGCAAGCGUUAAUCGGAAUUACUGGGCGUAAAGCGCGCGUAGGUGGCUUGAUAAGCCGGUUGUGAAAGCCCCGGGCUCAACCUGGGAACGGCAUCCGGAACUGUCAGGCUAGAGUGCAGGAGAGGAAGGUAGAAUUCCCGGUGUAGCGGUGAAAUGCGUAGAGAUCGGGAGGAAUACCAGUGGCGAAGGCGGCCUUCUGG